GGAAUUUUCCGCAAUGGGCGAAAGCCUGACGGAGCAACGCCGCGUGAGGGAUGAAGGCCUCUGGGCUGUAAACCUCUUUUAUCAAGGAAGAAGAUCUGACGGUACUUGAUGAAUAAGCCACGGCUAAUUCCGUGCCAGCAGCCGCGGUAAUACGGGAGUGGCAAGCGUUAUCCGGAAUUAUUGGGCGUAAAGCGUCCGCAGGCGGUCUGUCAAGUCUGCUGUUAAAGCGUGGAGCUUAACUCCAUUUCGGCAGUGGAAACUGACAGACUAGAGUGUGGUAGGGGCAGAGGGAAUUCCCGGUGUAGCGGUGGAAUGCGUAGAUAUCGGGAAGAACACCAGUGGCGAAGGCGCUCUGCUGGGCCAUAACUGACGCUCAUGGACGAAAGCCAGGGGAGCGAAAGGGAUUAGAUACCCCUGUAGUC
rnacentral:rRNA from 1 species